rnacentral:lncRNA from 1 species
UAUAUAUAUAUAUAUAUAAUUUUUAGCAAAAAAAAUAUAAAACUGAGCUUAAUUAUAAAAGAAUUCAUUUAUACAUAAAGUUUCAACCAUUAGAUCAAAGUCUAAUGGAUAAGUUUUUAUAAAUUUAUUUUUUUUGUACAUUCAAUUUAAUCCAUUUAACUUAUUGUUCGUUAGCUAGUUCGUAAGACAACUCGUGCAAAUAUGAGCUGAAUUCUUCGACUCGAUAAUUUAACGAACCAACUCAUAUUCUGCUCGUUUAUUAAAUGAGUCGAACAUGAGCUGGCCCCAGCUC